rnacentral:rRNA from 1 species
AUUGAACGCUGGCGGCAGGCCUAACAAUGCAAGUCGAGCGGAAACACAAGGGAGCUUGCUCCUGAGGUGUCGAGCGGCGGACGGGUGAGUAAUGCCUAGAUAUCUGCCUAGUCGUGGGGGAUAACAGUUGGAAACGACUGCUAAUACCGCAUACGCCCUACGGGGGAAAGGAUGGGACCUUCGGGCCAUUCGCGAUUAGAUGAGUCUAGGUGGGAUUAGCUAGUUGGUAAGGUAAUGGCUUACCAAGGCGACGAUCCCUAGCUGUUCUGAGAGGAUGAUCAGCCACACUGGGACUGAGACACGGCCCAGACUCCUACGGGAGGCAGCAGUGGGGAAUAUUGCACAAUGGGCGAAAGCCUGAUGCAGCCAUGCCGCGUGUAUGAAGAAGGCCUUCGGGUUGUAAAGUACUUUCAGCGAGGAGGAAAGGUUGGUCGUUAAUAGCGGCUAGCUGUGACGUUACUCGCAGAAGAAGCACCGGCUAACUUCGUGCCAGCAGCCGCGGUAAUACGAGGGGUGCAAGCGUUAAUCGGAAUUACUGGGCGUAAAGCGUACGCAGGCGGUUUGUUAAGCAAGAUGUGAAAGCCCCGGGCUCAACCUGGGAAUUGCAUUUUGAACUGGCAAACUAGAGUCUUGUAAGGGGGGUAGAAUUUCAGGUGUAGCGGUAAAUGCGUAAGAUCUGAAGGAAUACGGUGGCGAAGGCGGCCCCCUGGACAAAGACUGACGCUCAGUACGAAAGCGUGGGGAGCAAACAGGAUUAAUACCUGGUAGUCCACGCCGUAAACGAUGUCUACUCGGAGUUUGGUAACUUAAUUACUGGGCUCCAAGCUAACGCAUUAAGUAACCGCUGGGGAGUACGGCCGCAAGGUUAAACUCAAAUUAAUUGACGG